GGAGGAGCUUCAUGGCGGGGUCACGUGGCCGAGCUCGCCGGAUUCGAGCGAGAGGAACCACCUCAACACCAGAGGGAGGAGGCCAGCAACCACCUGUCGACGAUUCGGUGCGCAGGCAGCAGUGGAUGCGGCAAGGACGGAAACAGCUUCGUUGACCAUGGAACUGGCGGUGAAUAAAGUUAUUUCCGUAGGUGAUGUGCUCAAGUGUUUUCCUAAUAGAAGAUGUCACACCUUGGCUGUCAGGGUUAUGUGCUGACUAUCCAAUUUUGCAUACAGCUCGAUGUAACCGACUUAAUUACAGAUGUGAAAUUCGAUGCAGAUUAUUCCUACAGAUGAGAAAUUCGAUGCAGAUUAUUCCUACUGUGUUCACAUUGCAUGGUCCUCCUGUUGGCGUCGCCGAUAUCACGGCUGUGGAGCACGAAUGGACACGUGCUCACAUGCCAGAUUGCACAGAUAAAAGAAUAUGACAUUCAGUUUCAUUAUAAGAUGUUCACAUGCAUUGCCAAGUGGCAACUGAAAUCGGUGGUUGAUCCUGUUGUGGAAUCUGCUGGAGCCUGCUGCCG